rnacentral:lncRNA from 1 species
ACUCAUUUAAAUAAUGCCACUUAUAUUACAGAAUCAUGAUUUUCCUGGUGCAGUAAUACAUACAAUUACUUUAUAUUUCGGCCCAUUCCGUUGAUUUUCAAAAUUAUUGAUUAAUCUAACUGGCAGGUUUCACACAGCUCCUAACAAAGGGCUAUUCAGGCAAUUGAGUCAGUAAAUGGUACUCCCUUGUUUUAAUUGUGGUUAUCUAUACUUAUUGUUGUGUAGCUGGGAAGAUUUUUUGGACAAGAUAUCAUGGAAAAGGGAUGCUUUUGUUUAGUCUUUUUCGACAGAUACAUGACCGAGGCAGCUUUGAAGCCUUUCUGGAAAAUCCUCCUUCCUUCUGUAGAAUGUUUAAUCUUCCUGUGGAGUGUCGAACUAUGAGACUUACUCUGCAGAAUUCCAUUCUUGUGCCAUACAGACGAGUAAGAACUACUCAGGUAAAUGAGCCUUUUCCAGCUGUGAGAUCCACAGGCAGCUUCAUUUUGUUUUGGGGAGCAAAGCUUCUACCUGAUUACUUCCUUCUAAAAAGGAGUACCACCUUCUUCGAUUUUACAGGAACUGAUUCGGGCCGCUGACGUUAAUGAGAAUUAUGCUUUUCUGAGCUCUGGAACAAGCUUUAAGGCAAGAUGUAUGGAUAGAUAGAUAGAGAGAGAGAGACAGACAGACAGACAGACAGAUAGAUAGAUAGGUGACAAAUAAAUAGAUAAAGCCCCUCUGUCCUUUCUUAUUU